UACGUAGGGUGCAAGCGUUGUCCGGAAUUAUUGGGCGUAAAGAGCUUGUAGGCGGUUUGUCGCGUCUGCUGUGAAAUUUCGGGGCUCAACCCCGAACUUGCAGUGGGUACGGGCAGACUAGAGUGUGGUAGGGGAGACUGGAAUUCCUGGUGUAGCGGUGAAAUGCGCAGAUAUCAGGAGGAACACCGAUGGCGAAGGCAGGUCUCUGGGCCACUACUGACGCUGAGAAGCGAAAGCAUGGGGAGCGAACCGG
rnacentral:rRNA from 1 species